CCCUAAUGAGGAGACAACAGUCUAUAUAGACCCUAAUGAGGGUCUAUAUAGACUGUUGUCUCCUCAUUAGGGUCUAUAUAGACUGUUGUCUCCUCACUAGGGUCUGUAUAGACUGUUGUCUCCUCAUUAGGGUCUGUAAAGACUGUUGUCUCCUCAUUAGGGUCUAUAUAGACUGUUGUCUCCUCAUUAGGGUCUAUAUAGACUGUUGUCUCCUCACUAGGGUCUAUAUAGACUGUUGUCUCCUCACUAGUAUCUAUAUAGACUGUUGUCUCCUCAUUAGGGUCUAUAUAGACUAUUGUCUCCUCAUUAGGGCCUAUAUAGACUGUUGUCUCCUCACUAGGGUCUAUAUAGACUGUUGUCUCCUCAUUAGGGUCUAUAUAGACUAUUGUCUCCUCAUUAGGGUCUAUAUAGGGUUGUUGUCUCCUCAUUAGGGUCUACAUAGACUGUUGUCUCCUCAUUAGGGCCUAUAUAGACUGUUGUCUCC
rnacentral:lncRNA from 1 species